GACAGAGGGUGCAAACGUUGUUCGGAAUUACUGGGCGUAAAGCGCGUGUAGGCUGCCCCGCAAGUCGGAUGUGAAAGCCCUGGGCUCAACCUAGGAAGUGCAUUCGAAACUGCGGGGCUGGAGUCCUGGAGAGGAAGGCGGAAUUCUCGGUGUAGCGGUGAAAUGCGUAGAUAUCUGGAGGAACACCGGUGGCGAAGGCGGCAUCCUGGACCAAUAUUGACGCUGAGGAGCGAAAGCCAGGGGAGCAAACGGG
rnacentral:rRNA from 1 species